rnacentral:sRNA from 1 species
AGAGAUGCCGCUGAAACCAAACUUUUGUCCUUGCCAAGAGUUUUGUCUCCACAGAAGAGAGCCUUGGGAAGGAGUUCUUCAGAUGUUUCUUUGGACUUCCCUUGUCUCCCUCUAGCACCAUGCUCAGGCUCUCACUACAGCUGACAUGGUGUCUUACACCCUCACAGGUUGUAGGUGACGUGGACACCAGCCUCCCACGGACCCUAGACGAGCUUGGCAUCCACCUGACGAAGGAAGAGCUGAAGCUGAACAUCCGCCCCUUGCUCAGGCUGGUCUGCAAAAAGUUCUUUGGCGAGUUCACAGGCUUUGUGGACAUGUGUGUGCAGCAUAUCCCUUCUCCAAAGGUGGGCGCCAAGCCCAAGAUUGAGCACACCUACACUGGCGGUGUGGACUCCGACCUCGGCGAGGCUAUGAGUGACUGUGACCCUGAUGGCCCCCUGAUGUGCCACACUACUAAGAUGUACAGCACAGAUGAUGGAGUCCAGUUUCACGCCUUUGGCCGGGUGCUGAGUGGCACCAUUCAUGCUGGGCAGCCUGUGAAGGUACUGGGGGAGAACUACACCCUGGAGGAUGAGGAA